UAACGCGAAGAACCUUACCAAAUCUUGACAUCCUCUGACCCCUCUAGAGAUAGAGUUUUCCCCUUCGGGGGACAGAGUGACAGGUGGUGCAUGGUGGUCGUCAGCUCGUGUCGUGAGAUGUUGGGUUAAGUCCCGCAACGAGCGCAACCCUAAAGCUUAGUUGCCUUUAUUAAGUUGGGCACUCUAUGUUGACUGCCGGUGACAAACCGGAGGAAGGUGGGGAUGACGUCAAAUCAUCAUGCCCCUUAUGAUUUGGGCUUCACACGUGCUACAAUGGACAAUACAAAGGGUAGCGAAACCGCGAGGUCAAGCAAAUCCCAUAAAGUUGUUCUCAGUUCGGAUUGUAGUCUGCAACUCAACUACAUGAUGCUGGAAUCGCUAGUAAU
rnacentral:rRNA from 1 species